rnacentral:lncRNA from 1 species
ACCCAGGGACACCCGCCCGGCCACGGCGGCCCGGGGGGGACACCCACACGAGGUGAGGCCAUUUCAGGUCCCCGGUUGACGCGGGGGCGGGAGGGAGAGAGACAUGGCACAGGCAAGGCAGGGCGGUCACCUGUUCGGGGCAGGGGGGAGGUACAGGCCGCAUUAGGCAAAAGAGCAGCGCUUGGCCCCCACCGCGGGGGCCAGCGCACCCCUCGCGCGAGGGCGGCUCUUGCCCACACGCUGUGGCAAGUAGCACCGGCAGCUACUGCCUUGCAGACUUCAGGAGGGGCGGCGGCUGGGGGGUCCAGGUACCCCAAGGCCCCCCCUCUCAGAUCGCUAGAGAAGGCUUUCUCACCGAGGGCGCGUCGUGCCCCCCACACCAUCGUUCGCCCCUUCGGGGACCCACGGGAGUGGGAACACUCCCAAAAAGUGGGAAGUCAGAAGGCAGCAGGGCGGGAGACCAGAGGUCAGGCUGGAGGCCGCACCCCUGCCUUCCCCCACACCACCCGCAGGUGGGGGAGGAGCAGCGAGGGGCCCGCGACAGAAUGAGAGGCGCGGCCCAGCUCACCAUGAGCGGCCGUCCCUCAUCUGGCGCGGCUUAAGCCCAAGCCCAGGAGAGCGCCACAUCACCACAUCGAUCAGUCCUGGCAGAGCCAGGGAAGAGCCCAGAAGAGGGGAGGAGACACCGCAGCACGGGCCAGCUGGAUGCACAAGUGAGAGCCGGCGCACAGGCCCAGGCGAGCGGCCCCCACGCGGGGUGCAAAGGGCAGGGUCAGGCCUUGGACAGCAGCCGAAAGCCCAAAGCCCCCCACGUGCAUCCAGAGGCCCAAGGUCUCCAGCGACAGGCGCUGAAGAGGAUCGUGUCAGCAUCUACCUGGUGACAGAAAAGG